ensembl:lncRNA
UGAUGAGUAAAAUUUAGCACUGCAUAACUUGGAAAAAAUUAAAACAUGAAGACGUUUUAAUGGUCUUGGGGAGGAUAGAGAGGAAGCCUAAUGUGAUUGAUCAGAGCACUGAGGGAUGAAAUUGCAAAAUCUCAAUUAGCUGUGUUUUUUGUCUAAGAGAGAUUAAAGUUAGAGGUGCUUACAGAUUCACUCAAUGAAUUGCAUAAUAAUCAGCUAUAGAAGUAAAUAUUAAUUAUAUCCUACACAAAAGUUCCUACAGAAAAAUCUGAGCGACAAGUAGCUAUUUCUGUGUAGAGGGGGUAGGAUGGGGGAACAGCGAUAAGUGGAAAGGAAGGAAGUGAUAAUAAUAUAUUUAGAUGAAUCAACCAAAUUUAACAUUUCUAAUUUUAGAUAGAAAUUGUUGAAAGGACUAUAACAGUUGAAAUUUAAACUAGGAGUUUUAACUAUUAUAUGAUAGUUGAGAAAUACAUUUAGAUAUUUGUAGAAUUUGACUGCUUUUAUAUUUUCCUUUAAAAGUGUUAUAUGUUUUGAUUCUUUAUUUAUUUAAUGUCAUAUUCUUUAAUAAGGUUUGUUUUUCAUCACCAUAACAAUAGAACUGCAUGAUUAUAAAUCUCUGUAGGAGAUUGAGCCUAAAGCCAUAGUGUGGAACUCAAGACCUUGGUGAGCGUGAUGAGACACAUUAUUACUUUACUGACAUCUAAUGACCAUGUAGCUUAAUUGCAGAAUUUUUUUUAGUGGCAAAUAAAAUACAUUGAAGUUAUACUCUAAAAUCAUUUAGUAAUAGCUGCAAUUUUUUUAAAAUUCCUUAUUCUCUAUCACUUUCUUUGCCUUCUUUUGUAUUAUAUUCCUCUACCCAAUCUUCCUUUCUCUUUCUUCCUUUAUCUCAGGUGCAACAUAUGGUUAUACAAGCAUAUAUAACCUAUAUACCUAAGGUACCCAGCACAUUUCUGAAAAAAAGGCAAAAGAAGUUACUGAGCCUGCCAGAGACCUACAGCCAGAAUUUCAGAGCUUCAGAAACUUAUGACCUCAUAAAGGUGUUCAAUGAUGAAGAGGAGUGGUUGAAAAGAUGGCUGUCUAGAGUCAACACGAACCUACCCCAAAGUUUGACGUUUGCCUUAAGUCAGUAACCGAGGAGGGCCAUGGUCCUGAGCUCAGACCAGGCCCCAAGAAGAUUCAGAGCCUGCAGUUGUCCUCUGGUUUCUAAAGUAUGUUAUUGGGCUAAAGAUUUCAAGACAUGUAUCCUUCUUUGCUUUCUAUCGCAGCCAUUAAAUAUUUCAGAUAUUUUCUGCCAAAAGGCAGGAAUCACGAAGAUUACAAAUAUUAAAGACAAAACAAAAUAACUUUUUAAUGAGAAGGUCAGUCUGUGGUUUGGGUCUUUGGAAAGAAAUCAAGAAAUCUGACUAUACUUUCUAUUUGACCAUUGAUUCUCUAGUGGAAAUGGGCAAAUCUUUUACACCAGGGCAAAUUUUUCAGUAAAGGGCCAGACAGCAAAUAUUUUAGGAAUUGUGGGCCAUGCAGUCUCUCUCCCAGCUACUUAAGUCUUUCAGCAUAGCAUAAAAGCAGUCAUAAACAAUACUACAACAAGUAUGGCUGCGUUCCAAUAAAACUUUAUUUACAAAAAUAGGCAGCAGGCCAGAUUUGGCCCACAAGCUAUAGCCUUCCAACCCCUGCUUUGUCAAACUCAAUAACAAACAGAGAGGGAGACUCUUCAAAAAAAAAAAAAAUGAUAUUCAUCUGGG